rnacentral:rRNA from 1 species
UACGUAGGGUGCGAGCGUUUGUCCGGAAUUACUGGGCGUAAAGAGCUCGUAGGUGGUUUGUCGCGUUGUUCGUGAAAACUCACAGCUUAACUGUGGGCGUGCGGGCGAUACGGGCAGACUGGAGUACUGCAGGGGAGACUGGAAUUCCUGGUGUAGCGGUGGAAUGCGCAGAUAUCAGGAGGAACACCGGUGGCGAAGGCGGGUCUCUGGGCCGAUACUGACGCUGAGGAGCGAAAGCGUGGGGAGCAAACAGG